UAAGGAAUAUUUGUCAAUGGACGCAAGUCUGAACCAGCCAUGCCGCGUGAAGGAUGAAGGUCCUCUGGAUUGUAAACUUCUUUUAUCUGGGACGAAAACGGGAUUUUUAUCUCAAUUGACGGUACCAGAGGAAUAAGCACCGGCUAACUCCGUGCCAGCAGCCGCGGUAAUACGGAGGGUGCGAGCGUUAUCCGGAUUUACUGGGUUUAAAGGGUGCGUAGGUGGGCUUAUAAGUCAGUGGUGAAAUCUCCGAGCUUAACUUGGAAACUGCCGUGGAUACUAUAGGUCUUGAAUUAUCUGGAGGUAAGCGGAAUAUGUCAUGUAGCGGUGAAAUGCUUAGAUAUGACAUAGAACACCAAUUGCGAAGGCAGCUUACUACAUAUAAAUUGACGCUGAGGCACGAAAGCGUGGGGAUCAAACA
rnacentral:rRNA from 1 species